rnacentral:rRNA from 1 species
AACGAACGCUGGCGGCAUGCCUAACACAUGCAAGUCGAACGAGACCUUCGGGUCUAGUGGCGCACGGGUGCGUAACGCGUUGGAACCUGCCCUUAGGUUCGGAAUAACUCCCCGAAAGGGGUGCUAAUACCGGAUAAUGUCUUCGGACCAAAGAUUUAUCGCCUUUGGAUGGGCCCGCGUUGGAUUAGCUAGUUGGUAGGGUAAAAGCCUACCAAGGCGACGAUCCAUAGCUGGUCUGAGAGGAUGAUCAGCCACACUGGGACUGAGACACGGCCCAGACUCCUACGGGAGGCAGCAGUGGGGAAUAUUGGACAAUGGGCGAAAGCCUGAUCCAGCAAUGCCGCGUGAGUGAUGAAGGCCUUAGGGUUGUAAAGCUCUGUUACCCGGGAUGAUAAUGACAGUACCGGGAGAAUAAGCUCCGGCUAACUCCGUG